UACGUAGGAUCCAAGCGUUAUCCGGAAUUACUGGGCGUAAAGCGUACGUAGGUGGAGAUCUAAGUGAGAUGCGAAAUCUGGCGGCUCAACCGUCUAGACUGUGUCUCAUACUGGGUUUCUUGAGGUUGGCAGAGGCAAGUGGAAUUUCCGGUGUAGCAGUGAAAUGCGUAGAGAUCGGAAGGAACACCAAUGGCGAAGGCAGCUUGCUGGGCCACACCUGACACUGAGGUACGAAAGCGUGGGGAGCGAACAGG
rnacentral:rRNA from 1 species